AUUGAACGCUGGCGGCAGGCCUAACACAUGCAAGUCGAGCGGAUGAGAAGAGCUUGCUCUUCGAUUCAGCGGCGGACGGGUGAGUAAUGCCUAGGAAUCUGCCUGGUAGUGGGGGACAACGUUUCGAAAGGAACGCUAAUACCGCAUACGUCCUACGGGAGAAAGCAGGGGACCUUCGGGCCUUGCGCUAUCAGAUGAGCCUAGGUCGGAUUAGCUAGUUGGUGAGGUAAUGGCUCACCAAGGCGACGAUCCGUAACUGGUCUGAUAGGAUGAUCAGUCACACGGGAACUGUGACACGGGCCAGACUCCUACGGGAGGCAGCAGUGGGGAAUAUUGGACAAUGGGCGAAAGCCUGAUCCAGCCAUGCCGCGUGUGUGAAGAAGGUCUUCGGAUUGUAAAGCACUUUAAGUUGGGAGGAAGGGCAGUAAGUUGAUACCUUGCUGUUUUGACGUUACCAACAGAAUAAGCACCGGCUAACUCUGUGCCAGCAGCCGCCGUAAUAC
rnacentral:rRNA from 1 species